GAUGAACGCUGGCGGCGUGCUUAACACAUGCAAGUCGAACGAACCUUCGGGUUAGUGGCGGACGGGUGAGUAACGCGUGAGAACCUGCCCUCAGGAGGGGGAUAACGGCUGGAAACGGCCGCUAAUACCCCAUAUGCCGAGAGGUGAAACGAAUUUCGCCUGAGGAUGAGCUCGCGUCUGAUUAGCUAGUUGGUGGGGUAAGAGCCUACCAAGGCAUCGAUCAGUAGCUGGUCUGAGAGGAUGAUCAGCCACACUGGGACUGAGACACGGCCCAGACUCCUACGGGAGGCAGCAGUGGGGAAUUCUCCGCAAUGGGCGAAAGCCUGACGAAGCAACGCCGCGUGAGGGAUGAAGGCCUCUGGGCUGUAAACCUCUUUUAUCAAGGAAGAAGAUCUGACGGUACUUGAUGAAUAAGCCACGGCUAAUUCCGUG
rnacentral:rRNA from 1 species